rnacentral:rRNA from 1 species
UACGUAGGGUGCAAGCGUUAAUCGGAAUUACUGGGCGUAAAGCGUGCGCAGGCGGUUUUGUAAGUCUGUCGUGAAAGCCCCGGGCUCAACCUGGGAAUUGCGAUGGAGACUGCAAGGCUUGAAUCUGGCAGAGGGGGGGUAGAAUUCCACGUGUAGCAGUGAAAUGCGUAGAGAUGUGGAGGAACACCGAUGGCGAACGGCAGCCCCCUGGGUCAAGAUUGACGCUCAUGCACGAAAGCGUGGGGAGCAAACAGG